UCCAGUUUAUCACUGGCAGUCCCCUUAGAGUUCCCGGCAUAACCCGAUGGCAACUAAGGGCAAUGGUUGCGCUCGUUGCGGGACUUAACCCAACACUUCACAGCACGAGCUGACGACAGCCAUGCAGCACCUGUGCAAGACUCCGAUUGGAUACGGUCGGCCGAACUUUCAUCCAGCCUACUUCAAGCAUGUCAAGCCUAGGUAAGGUUCUUCGCGUAGCCUCGAAUUAAACCACAUGCUCCACCGCUUGUGCGGGUCCCCGUCAAUUCCUUUGAGUUUCAGUCUUGCGACCGUACUCCCCAGGUGGUAGAUUUAAUGUGUUAACGCCGGCGCUGAGAGGAUCGAUACUCCCAACACCUAAUCUACAUCGUUUACGGCAAGGACUAC
rnacentral:misc_RNA from 1 species